AGGAAGGUGGGGAUGACGUCAAAUCAUCAUGCCCCUUUGGAGUACCAGCUAUCGUGCCAACGGUAGAGCUGGGUAACUAAGUCCGGAAGGGAUAAGCGCUGAAAGCAUCUAAGCGCGAAGCCUGCUUCAAGAUGAGGUUUCCCACUACGAAAGUAGGUAAGAUCCCACGCAGACUACGUGGUAGAUAGGCCGGGGGUGUAAGCACAGUAAUGUGUUGAGCCGACCGGUACUAAUAGAUCGA
rnacentral:ncRNA from 1 species